CACGUAGGGCGCGAGCGUUGUCCGGAAUUAUUGGGCGUAAAGAGCUCGUAGGCGGCCUGUUGCGUCCGCUGUGAAAGCCCGGGGCUUAACCCCGGGUCGGCAGUGGAUACGGGCAGGCUAGAGGUAGGUAGGGGAGAAUGGAAUUCCCGGUGUAGCGGUGAAAUGCGCAGAUAUCAGGAGGAACACCGGUGGCGAAGGCGGAUCUCUGGGCCAUUACUGACGCUGAGGAGCGAAAGCGUGGGGAGCGAACAGG
rnacentral:rRNA from 1 species